rnacentral:tRNA from 1 species
CACUAAGAAGCUAAAUAGCAUUAGCCUUUUAAGCUAAAGAUUGGUGAUUAUGCUCACCCUUGGUGA